GCGCUCACUUCGGCAGCACAUAUAUUAAAAUUGGACCAAUACAGAGAAGAUUAGCACGGCCCCUGCGCAAGGUGGACACACAAAUUCAUGAAGGGUUCCGUAAUUUU